UACGUAGGGUGCGAGCGUUGUCCGGAAUUAUUGGGCGUAAAGGGCUCGUAGGCGGUUUGUCACGUCGGGAGUGAAAACUCGGGGCUUAACUCCGAGCCUGCUUCCGAUACGGGCUGACUAGAGGUAUGCAGGGGAGAACGGAAUUCCUGGUGUAGCGGUGAAAUGCGCAGAUAUCAGGAGGAACACCGGUGGCGAAGGCGGCAUCCUGGACCGACACUGACGCUGAGGAGCGAAAGCCAGGGGAGCAAACGGG
rnacentral:rRNA from 1 species